GUAAACCCAAGGUUUCCAGGGGAAGGUUCGUCCGCCCUGGGUUAGUCGGGACCUAAGCUGAGGCCGAAAGGCGUAGGUGAUGGACAACAGGUUGAUAUUCCUGUACUACCGAUAACCGUUUGAGAGAUGGGAUGACACAGUAGGAUAAGCUAAGCACACUGUUGGUUAUGUGUGCCCAAGCAUUGAGGCAGUCAAAGUAGGCAAAUCCGCUUUGAUAAUGCUGGGAUGUGAUGGGGAGCGAAAUU
rnacentral:rRNA from 1 species